ensembl:misc_RNA Metazoa_SRP Metazoan signal recognition particle RNA
GCCAGGUGUGGUGGCGGGCACCUGUAAUCCCAGCUCCUCAGGAGGCUGAGGCAGGAGAAUUGCUUGAACCCGGGAGGUGGAGGCUGCAGUGAGCUCAGAUUGUGCCACUGCACUCCAGCCUGGGCGACAGAGCAAGACCCUGUCUCAA